CACAGGGAAAUGCCUUGUAUAGAAGCAGUUCGUCAACUGUAUAAUUGAAUUCUGAGUACUUCUGUUUUGGAAGUCUUAGUAACAUCAACCUCAUCAUCACUUAACCAGGUUAUGCAAACAGAUCGAGGGGUUUCCCUGACAAGGGAUGAGCACAAAAGGGUAGCCGAAGUGGCUCAAGAAUUGCAAUGUUUUUGUGUGGAUGAACCUGUGAAAUGCCUUGACAAGGGAUGAGCACAAAACGGUAGCCGAAGUGGCUCAAGAAUUGCAACGUUUUUGUGUGGAUGAACCUGUGAAAUGCCCUCUAAUAUUCGGAGGUAAACUUUAGUGUUAUUUUUUAGUAGAAACAGAGUUCCAUUAAACUCUCUAUGUGCCCUUGCAGAUUAAUAUCUCUGUGAUCUUUUUCCUAUUUCCCUCUUUGGAUAUAUGUUAAUUAUCAGAAGCAAUUUUCUUUGUUAACCAAGCAUGCCUGGCCUAGUUAAUUUUCCUCAUAAGUGCAGUAUCCCUAUUUCUUGUUAAGCAUCGAG
rnacentral:lncRNA from 1 species